UACGAAGGGGGCGAGCGUUGUUCGGAUUUACUGGGCGUAAAGGGCGCGUAGGCGGGUCAGCCAGUUCGGGGUGAAAUCCUUCGGCUUAACCGGAGAACUGCCUCGAAGACGACUGAUCUGGAGGGAGGUAGGGGUCGCUGGAACUUCCGGUGGAGCGGUGAAAUGCGUUGAUAUCGGAAGGAACGCCGGUGGCGAAAGCGAGCGACUGGACCUUUACUGACGCUGAGGCGGCGAAAAGCUAGGGGAGCAAACGGGG
rnacentral:rRNA from 1 species